CAUCAUAGACCUAUACUU
rnacentral:snRNA from 1 species